ensembl:misc_RNA Metazoa_SRP Metazoan signal recognition particle RNA
GCCGGGUGUGGUGGCGCACGCCUGUAAUCCCAGCUACUUGGGAGGCUGAGGCAUGAGAAUUGCUUGAACCCAGGAGGUGGAGCUUGCAGUGAGCUGAGAUGGUGCCAUUGCACUCCAGCCUGGGCGACAGAGCAAGACUGCGUCUCAA